rfam:Culex pipiens quinquefasciatus supercont3.2379 genomic scaffold, whole genome shotgun sequence.
CGGCCCGUGGCUUAAUGGCUACAGCUCCCGCCUCAUAAGCGGAAGGUCCUGGGUUCGAUUCCCAACCGGUCUC